UUUGGAUGUUGACUGAGAAGUUACUGUUCGUUCGUUGUGACAUCAAAGUUCAAACUUUAUAGAAAGUGUAUUGCAAUUGAAGAUUUCAUUCACAAAUCUGAAAAAAAUGAACUAGGAUUUUAUCGGUUUACAAGUUUAAUAUGGAAAACAGCCAUCCUAGUGAAAACCAAGUGUUCUGCUGCUGAGUGUUUCAACCAAAUAAUGGAGAUUCAUACUUUGUAUCUGCUGUUUGCCAUUGAAAUCCAUCUAGCUGUAGCAUAGAUGGAUGAAUGUCUUAGAAACACGGCUUCCUCGAGACAUUUUGCUGUAUGUAAUGGUGAAAAUGGCUUGUUUGUGUUACAAUAGCUCGUUUCCAAGAUACACACAUCUUUAAGCACUAUUUGUGACGUCCAUGAGAUCGCAAGUCGACUUCCAAUGUCAAUCUACAACGCAGUUUCUUUAUUGGAAUUGUGUUUUCCUGGCACGGAGAUCUUUGAGCCUACGCUAGCCUUUGUUUAUGACAGAAGAGUGACUUCCACCAAAGUUCUGCUCCAUCCUUAUCUUCGCGAUGUACGCUCAUCCAACUUCACUGCUUCUGAUGCUGCUGCUACACAAAUUUUCUUGCUUCACUGGCGAGUUAGAACACUUCAGUGGUCGCUUCCGCCCGCUGUGACACACUUAUAGUCACUCACCACGGGAUUAUGCCCAGGUACGAACAGUCAGAGAUCAGUGACGACUGACUGACGUGCUGAAUGCUCACAUGCGUGCCAUCCUUCCGUCGCCUCGAGGCAUGGGGGAGUUGUGCCUACUCCAGCUACGCGUCUAGCGUAAUUCGACUACCCAACCGACGGCUGGUCAACUAUCACCCCUCGGCCCUCGCUGACUCCUACUACCCAUGCUCUCAUCUCUCAACACAUCACGGGGUUUUGAUCUUUAGAUCGUUUGUAAUCUGUUAUGGCGGUUUUACGACGAUGAUGUUCUAAACCACAUGUUUCUAAAUUUGCAUGACAGACUUUACGAGAAGUAAUGUUCCUUGUUUGGUAACCUGUUGGCUGCUACCCCUUGAAUCUCUCUUCUUACUUCCUUACAUGGGCGGGAUGGGCCCCCUUGAUUUGAGGGGAAUCCUUUGCUGCUAUAGUCAUGGACUUCAUCCACUGGUGAAAAUCAAUGAGAGAAUGCUGCAAUUCAAGACUGAUACAUUGUGUAGUUGUUAGAUAAAUGGCAAGUGCAUAUCUGGGCUCCCUUCUUUUCAGUGGCCCCG